GUCUGUUGGUGUUGUUUAUCCUCCAGGUCUCUGUCUGUUGGUGUUGUUUAUCCUCCAGGUCUCUGUCUGUCUGUUGGUGUUGUUUAUCCUCCAGGUCUCUGUCUGUUGGUGUUGUUUAUCCUCCAGGUCUCUGUCUGUCUGUUGGUGUUGUUUAUCCUCCAGGUCUCUGUCUGUCUGUUGGUGUUGUUUAUCCUCCAGGUCUCUGUCUGUCUGUUGGUGUUGUUUAUCCUCCAGGUCUCUGUCUGUUGGUGUUGUUUAUCCUCCAGGUCUCUGUCUGUUGGUGUUGUUUAUCCUCCAGGUCUCUGUCUGUUGGUGUUGUUUAUCCUCCAGGUCUCUGUCUGUCUGUUGGUGUUGUUUAUCCUCCAGGUGUCUGUCUGUUGGUGUUGUUUAUCCUCCAGGUCUCUGUCUGUUGGUGUUGUUUAUCCUCCAGGUCUCUGUCUGUUGGUGUUGUUUAUCCUCCAGGUCUCUGUCUGUCUGUUGGUGUUGUUUAUCCUCCAGGUGUCUGUCUGUUGGUGUUGUUUAUCCUCCAG
rnacentral:lncRNA from 1 species